rnacentral:tRNA from 1 species
GCGCGCUUAGCUCAGUUGGUUAGAGCGUUUGCUCGACACGCAAGAGGUCAGUGGUUCGAAUCCACUAGCGCGCA